rnacentral:rRNA from 1 species
CUACGGGGCGCAGCAGUGAGGAAUAUUGGACAAUGGAGGCAACUCUGAUCCAGCCAUGCCGCGUGCAGGAAGACGGCCCUACGGGUUGUAAACUGCUUUUAUACAGGAAGAAACGCCGCUACGUGUAGCGGUUUGACGGUACUGUACGAAUAAGGAUCGGCUAACUCCGUGCCAGCAGCCGCGGUAAUACGGAGGAUCCAAGCGUUAUCCGGAAUCAUUGGGUUUAAAGGGUCCGUAGGCGGUUUUUUAAGUCAGAGGUGAAAUCCUGCAGCUCAACUGUAGCAUUGCCUUUGAUACUGAAAGACUCGAGUUAUUGUGAAGUAGUUAGAAUGUGUAGUGUAGCGGUGAAAUGCAUAGAUAUUACACAGAAUACCGAUUGCGAAGGCAGAUUACUAACAAUAUACUGACGCUGAGGGACGAAAGCGUGGGUAGCGAACAGGAUUAGAUACCCCAGUAGUC